rnacentral:misc_RNA from 1 species
AUUCUCAGUUGCUUCAAUGACAUCCUCAAAGGCAAUUCUUCCAUCAUAGUUCCACACUGAGAAUAUGUCUCCAUUUUUUGAUUCUUUUGCCUUAGGUUGUGAAUUUUUGUUCUUCUGCUGAAAAUAUAAGGCUAAUGAUAAAAGACUCAAGGCGGUAAGACUCAAGGCGAUGGUAAGAGAGAGCAAUAAAUAGUACGUCCACUUUUUUGAGCUUGCCGAGCUAAUGCUUGCUGUGGGUAAAAAAAAGCAAACACUGUUUAUUUCGUCUAUGUAUAAACCCUUGUUUCCAGCAAAACUAGCAAUGGAAAAGGAUCUGCUCAAGUUGCAAGGAAUGGGGCCGGUAAGAUUAUUGUGGCUUAGAUCUAGAGAUGUCAAAUAAGGUAAAUCACCUCGGGUAAAAGGAAUUGGGCCGGAAAGAUUAUUGUG